UGAAACCCAAGGAUGACUCCGAUAUUGAUUGGUCCCAGCUGGCCUUGGAUCUGUUGCUGUACGAUGCGGUGGACAGGAACAUCACGGUGAGCCCGGAACUGGCCAAAGAAUUGCUGAACAUGUGCUUUGGUGAUGCCAUGGAUUCGGUCCAUGGGGCGCUGGCGGUGGCAAAAGCCUGCAACCGCAAGUACAUCCUCAAGGCGGAUCUGAGAAUGUUCAACUACAUCUGUAGCCGGGAGAGCGACAGUACGGAUAGCCCUUCCUCGCGAGGCCUGUGACUGUGAGACCUGUUUCAUCGCGACGCCAGUGACUGUCAGACCUUUUGCUUCGCGACGCCAGUGACUGUCAGACCUUUUUCUUCGCAAGGCCAGUGACUGUAAGACCGAGGCCUGUGAUUAUUCAACCUUUUACUGGAUCUACUUUCAAUGGCAAAUGGUUUCAAGGCCCAAAACUGAUUAAAACCAGGAUUUAAAUUCA